CUCUGCGUGCGCCGGAGGCUGCCGUGGCGGGUGGGCCGCCUGACUUCUCCUCCCGGCCAGUUCUCGAGCGCCUCACCGGGCCUCGCCCUGCAGCCUCGCUCUCGCUGGCGCUGCGCGGCCUAGGGGACUGGGCUGCUGGCCUCCGGGUGCGGGGUGGGGGCAGGCUCCGACCUGGGGCGUCCUGGCCGCGCGAGCCGCGGGAUGGGGGCCCGGGCCGCGGAGGAGGCGCCGCUGGUGUGUCCCUUGGUGGAGAGGGCGCUGCCGGCCCUGCGCGGUUUCCAGCCAGGAAGCUUCGGGAAGCCUGGACGUCUGCUCACUGGAGAUGACACGUGCGUGGGGUGUUGGCAUUCUUGUUAUUUAACACGGGAAGGAGGUGACUUCGCCUGUGAUGGACUUCCAGUGUGAGCACUGGCCAGAGUGACCAGGCUGACCAGCACCAGCCCUGAUCCAGAUGCAGAGGCCAGGAUGUGGGCCCAGCCCUGUGCCAGGAGGCUGGCUGGAAUAAAGGGAUGGGCAGGCUGGCAUGGGGGCAGCCGCUGCCCCUGCCUGGGUGUUGCUGUGUAUUCCUGCCGGCCAGGGGCCACUGCCAGGACCACGCCUCCCUUUUCAUAUCCCGAUUCUUAAGUUCUGCUAUUGUGGUAUUCUGGUGGAGAAAAAAGAACCGCGUGGCUGUUUUUGAACUGCCUGGAACCUAAGACCCUGAAUUCUUUUCCCCCCCAAGGGGAAAAUCUAUAUGGAAAACAUUUAUUUUAAAAUACAGGAUGAAGUGAAUUAAAAGAUUUAAAUGCACAUUUCUUUAAGGAUAAUAUUUCUGUGUUGGCAAAAUUUGAGAGUAAAUUGGUCUUGAAUGGAA
rnacentral:lncRNA from 1 species